CGCAGCCGCUGUUGCCGUUUCCUCUCCAGGUUCUGCUCCUGCUGCCGCCGCCGCUCCGCCCUCACCUGCAGCCGCUGCUCGCGCCGGGCCCGCAGAGCCGCCAGCUCCGCCUCACCUUUGGGGGCUGCGGGGGACACACCUGUCACACAGCUGGACACACCUGGGCACACCUGGACACACCUGGGCACACCUGGGUACACCUGGGUACAGCUGGGAUACACCUGGAUACACCUGGGAUACACCUGGGCACACCUGUCAGACAGCUGGGAUACACCUGGGCACACCUGGACACACCUGUCACACAGCUGGACACACCUGGACACACCUGUCAGACAGCUGGACACACCUGGGCACAGCUGGGAUACACCUGGGAUACACCUGGAUACAGCUGGGUACACCUGGGUACACCUGUCAGACAGCUGGACACACCUGGGAUACACCUGGAUACACCUGGGCACACCUGGGCACACCUGGACACACCUGGGAUACACCUGGACACACCUGGGAUACACCUGGAUACACCUGGACACAGCUGGGAUACACCUGGGGACACCUGGAUACACCUGGGCACACCUGGACACACCUGUCAGACAGCUGGACACACCUGGGAUACACCUGGAUACACCUGGGGACACCUGGAUACACCUGGACAGGUGUGAUUCCCCCCACACUGUCACAGGUGUCCCCAGGUGUGUCCCCAGGUGUGCCCCAGGUGUGUCCCCAGGUGUCCCCAGGUGUCCCUCACCUGUCACUCACCCAGCCCGUGGUACAGGUGUGUCCCAGGUGUGUCCCCAGGUGUCCCCAGGUGUCCCUCACCUGUCACUCACCCAGCCCGUGGUACAGGUGUGUCCCCAGGUGUGUCCCCAGGUGUCCCUCACCUGUCACUCACCCAGCCCGUGGUACAGGUGUGUCCCCAGGUGUCCCCAGGUGUCCCUCACCUGUCACUCACCCAGCCCGUGGUACAGGUGUGUCCCCAGGUGUGUCCCCAGGUGUCCCCAGGUGUGUCCCUCACCUGUCACUCACCCAGCCCGUGGUACAGGACGUUGCCCUGGCCCAGCCCCUCCUCCACCUUCAGCAGCUGCAGCGUCAGCCGGGGCCCGAUCUGGGACAGGGGACACGGGGACACAGGUGAGGGACAGGGGACACAGGGGACACAGGGGACACAGGGACACAGGUGAGGGACAGGGGACACAGGUGAGGGACAGGGGACACUCAGGUGACACGGG
rnacentral:lncRNA from 1 species